UACGUAGGGUGCAAGCGUUAAUCGGAAUUACUGGGCGUAAAGCGUGUGCAGGCGGUUAUGUAAGUCAGGGGUGAAAUCCCCGGGCUUAACCUGGGAACUGCAUUUGUGACUGCAUCGCUGGAGUGCGGCAGAGGGGGAUGGAAUUCCGCGUGUAGCAGUGAAAUGCGUAGAUAUGCGGAGGAACACCGAUGGCGAAGGCAAUCCCCUGGGCCUGCACUGACGCUCAUGCACGAAAGCGUGGGGAGCAAACAGG
rnacentral:rRNA from 1 species